rnacentral:rRNA from 1 species
ACGGGUGAGUAAUGUCUGGGAAACUGCCUGAUGGAGGGGGAUAACUACUGGAAACGGUAGCUAAUACCGCAUAACGUCGCAAGACCAAAGAGGGGGACCUUCGGGCCUCUUGCCAUCAGAUGUGCCCAGAUGGGAUUAGCUAGUAGGUGGGGUAAUGGCUCACCUAGGCGACGAUCCCUAGCUGGUCUGAGAGGAUGACCAGCCACACUGGAACUGAGACACGGUCCAGACUCCUACGGGAGGCAGCAGUGGGGAAUAUUGCACAAUGGGCGCAAGCCUGAUGCAGCCAUGCCGCGUGUAUGAAGAAGGCCUUCGGGUUGUAAAGUACUUUCAGCGGGGAGGAAGGUGUUGUGGUUAAUAACCGCAGCAAUUGACGUUACCCGCAGAAGAAGCACCGGCUAACUCCGUGCCAGCAGCCGCGGUAAUACGGAGGGUGCAAGCGUUAAUCGGAAUUACUGGGCGUAAAGCGCACGCAGGCGGUCUGUCAAGUCGGAUGUGAAAUCCCCGGGCUCAACCUGGGAACUGCAUUCGAAACUGGCAGGCUAGAGUCUUGUAGAGGGGGGUAGAAUUCCAGGUGUAGC